CCCGCUGAGGGGAGAGCGACAGGCGGGGACUCGGCGCCCCAGUCAGUGCACGGGGGGCGGCUACGGGGGAGCCGCGAGCCCAGACGGAGGCCCCCCCGUCUGACCCCCCACCUGGGCGAGACCCAGGCCGGGCCAGGCUCCUGCCCGCUCGCCCCCAGGGCGAUGUGUGCCGGCUGCUGCUGAAGCCAGUGUUUCUCCCACUGCUGUCAGAGAAAUGAGAAAGGGGACCAGGUCAGCACCAAGAGAAAUACGAGGGUUUUCAAUUUACCAUUAUUGUCAGCUACGGGCAGAGUCUCCCAGGAGAGAGAGAGAUGACAGCAACACCUAUUAAUAACAAACACACAGGCCUUGUCUGCACCGGGAAAUUGCAUCAGGUAAACAGAGUUGCCAGCUUGGCUGCAAAUCUCCUCGCUCCAGCUGCCUCAGUAGUGGUGAGAACUGGUCCCUGUUACAGCUGCCACAGAACCAGCAGAGUCCACCAGAAGCUGAUUUGGGCUGAAGUGUGGAGAUCUAGUUUGCAGGUGCUAUUACUUACUACAAUCCUCCUAAGAAAUGUGUGAAUGGGAGGAGAAAAUAAAACUUUACAUGAAAUCUCAUCAUCUUACCAAGGAAAACUCAUUCCACUCACAUUAGGUCUGAGCUCUCCGCCUGUUCAUCUCCUAUUACAAGGGAAUAAUUGGGCACUAACUUUUGUCUCUUGCCUUGUUCUUAGAUUGUAGGCCUCUUGGCACCAAACCCAUCCCACUGUCCAUGGCACAGAACACCUUAUCUUUACAAGCAUCUUUCCCCCCCUUGUGACAGAGUGCGGAGAACCAGCAGCUGAACCAGCACUCUGGUCAUGGGAAAUCCAAUUAGUUCCCCUGGAGAGGGCUUGACUGAGGGAAGGGGUGACUAAUUACCGGAGCAGCCUGGGCUGGGGAGAUCUGAGGAGCUAUUUAUCCAGUUAACCGCAAGAGUAGAAAAGGAGCAGAGGAAGGAAGUGCAGAGGGUGGAGAGAUCCCUUCUCUCUCUUAUUGACUAUAUGACACUGUAAAGAGAAUUGCUGCAUGGAAGGGAAAGAGGGUGGGCGCUGAUAAAACAAACACAAAGUACACAUUGGUGGUUACAGAGCAGAGGUGUCAGAGCCACCUACAGAAGACAGGAGCAGAGGGCCGUGCCCUGUUACAAGUGGGGGCUUGUCCGGGAUCUGCCUUAUUCAUGCUGACAGAUAAUCUCCCAUGGCAGCUGGUGCAGAGGCUCAGCAGUUGAGGCAAUGGAAGACAUUUCAGUGGCUCAGAGAACAGCAGAAGGAGAUGCAGAAGACCCUGCCAGCCUUCCAGCACACCCACCACCUGGACACACAGUCCCUGUUGCAGGGCAGGCUGAGCAACAGAAAAGCCUGCAGGAUUUUAUUCAAGAGCAAGCCCAUGCACAGCAGCAGAUACUCCAAGGUGUGGCGAGUCCUGGAGUGGGGUACAGUAACCGGACACAGGUGGGGCAAGAAUUUUUUCUUCAGAAAUGAAGAAGCAUGUGGCAAAAACAGCAAAUAUCAACGUUUUGAAAUAUACCAACAUGAAGUGUUUUCACAUUCAGAUAUUCUUAAUUGUCAACGUUAUUCACACGUGACUGUAAUAGUUUUCUGUGUUUCCAGUUGAAAUUUGCUGGCCAGAUCAGUCUCACAGUGAAGGUUGUACACCAGUAGCAAUAGCUUGCUGUGUCCAUAGUUUGUACUGUACAGGGGCAGAUACAAUGUACAUGAAUUCCUAACGUAAUGCUUCCUCUCCAUUUGUAAGCUUUUAUACAUACAAUGUAGCAUCUACUUUACAUGGUAGAAGGUUUUAAUUUGUAAUUACCUAUACAUGCAAUACUAGCCUUUGAAAUAUUCUAGAAACUUGGCUUUUAAUUCAGUGACACUUACACACAGGUCAGUAUUAGCGUUAGAGAUGACAAUACACAGCUUCAUAUUACGAAUAUGUAAAAGCCAUGAGAGAAAGAAAUAGACUAACAAGAAGUAGUUAAGACAAAGUCCACAAACAAGUCUUUGCCUCUGCACUGAAAAGGGGUGAAGAUCAUGUUACAGCUCUUACCAACCAUGUCAUCAACAAUAUGACAAACCCAUUUGAUCCUGAAUCACAUCCAGAGGUGAUUACCAACACAUCUACUGCAUGUAACAUGAGAUGUGCAAGAGACUCGACUGAAACAGAUGUUGGUGAAGAAUAAAUGGACAGAUUUAUGAACGAUGCACUUGAUUCUGAUGGGACUAACAGCUUCUUCAGCUCAGUCAAGAAAUCUGGUAUCAGAACAUUUAGUGACUUGGUCAAGAUGACCAAAUUAAAGUCUGGCAAGGGAGGAAUAGUCACCAGAGCUGUCUGUCCAGAAAUUGUUUUCCACAGAGCCACGUCCUUAGCAAGAUGCAGAGAUGAUGUUUCAAUGGCAACUGUUCUCAGUCACCCAAUAGGACUUGUGCCUAUGUCCCUCUUCCAUGGUGAGGGAACAAUGAUAAGAACAGACAAAGCUGAAUUGGGGCAUCAGCUGGAAACUCAAGAUGGAAGAAUCCAUGAGCUACGGUCAUGCAAACAAAAAUCAGAGUGUACAUGGCUAUCACACAAAUGAUGGCAGGAAACAAAUUCCACACAUUCGAUGAACUGGCUGCUGAGUCAUUGAGGCAGGUCCUAAAAGGAUUUGACAAAGCUAAUUCUGUAAUCUAAGUCUUUGACAGAUAUGGCAACAGUAACUCUGAAAACUGCAGAAAGUCAGCACUGGACAGGAUCUACGGUUGGGUGCAAGAAAUAUCAGGUGAUUGGUGAACAACCUGUGCCUCCUUGGGAAAAGUUUCCAAACAUGGCAUUCAACAAGCAGUCACUUAAAAAUUCCUCUGUAAAUAUAUGGUUCAAAAUGCACCUGAAAGUGUAGGUGCACACCCAGUACACACAUUCCUUUUUGCAGGAAGCUUUUCUAAUGAUGAAGUAGCAAAAUCCAUCGUGAGUAGAGGUGCUGAAGAAACCCAAGAUUUGUCCUGUACUCAAGAGGAAGCAGACACAAGGAUCCUGCUGUAUGCAGUAUGUGCCAUUAUGGCUUUUGGGUCUUGGUGUCCUGAUACAGACAUUUUCCUCCUUGCUGUUCAGCACUUUCCAAAACUAGAACACGCAUAACAUGUGGUCUGAAAUAGGCAUCGUUACCAGCACAACUGACAAGCUGUUGCUUCAUACCUGAGCAUGCGAUUUGUGAUGCACUCACUCCUGACAUCCACUGUACAUGCAUUAACAGGAUGUGACUCUGUGCCAUCCCUAUUUGGUAUUGGGGAAAAAAUGUGUGUUUAAUGUUGUCAAAACAAAGAGAGCUUAUCACUUCAGCGAUCUUGCCAAACUGGGAGAAGGUGACAGACAAGCAGCAAUUUCUCCAGCAAGUAAGUUGGUAGCAGGGCUGUAAGACCAGAGCGGGAAAGAAAAGGAGACCCACAGAGAUCUGAAUUACUUGCACCUCAAAGGACAAGUCACUGGCCAAAUUCCCACCAUGUGAGGAUAGUUUUGAAGAGCAUGUCAAAAGAGCAUCUUGGCAAACAAAGACUGAAUAUCUGCGCACACAGGUAAACCAGAUACUGGAUCACCAUUGCAACAUGGAUGGAAAAAUGUGGAUGAUGAACUAUUUUCUGGAUUCUUCAGUGGCAUCUGAGCUUCUACAAGGCCUGUAGCAGUAGAGAUCGGUGCAUAAUAAACUGUGGCUGUAGUCAGAACAAUCAUCACUGCCCCGAACCGUGGACAUGCCAAGGAAAUGAAGACUGUGGUAACCCCACUCCACUCUCAGAGAUAAUAAACAAGAUAAUGAUAAUGAGGUUGAUUAGAAAUGUCACCAGCUCUAUUACAUUUCAGUGAUAUCCAUACAGAUUAUUAGAUUUCGUUUUACCCUUCAGAUUGUUGUUGUAUUGCUCUGAAGUCACAAAGAAAGCCAAUUUUUUCUUGAAAUAAUACAUAAUCAUUAAACUAACAAACAUGCAAAUAUUUCAAAAUGGUCAUUUU